rnacentral:rRNA from 1 species
AUGAACGCUGGCGGCGUGCCUAAUACAUGCCAGUCGAGCGAACAGACGAGGAGCUUGCUCCUCUGACGUUAGCGGCGGACGGGUGAGUAACACGUGGAUAACCUACCUAUAAGACUGGGAUAACUUCGGGAAACCGGAGCUAAUACCGGAUAAUAUAUUGAACCGCCUGGUUCAAUAGUGAAAGACGGUUUUGCUGUCACUUAUAGAUGGAUCCGCGCCGCAUUAGCUAGUUGGUAAGGUAACGGCUUACCAAGGCGACGAUGCGUAGCCGACCUGAGAGGGUGAUCGGCCACACUGGAACUGAGACACGGUCCAGACUCCUACGGGAGGCAGCAGUAGGGAAUCUUCCGCAAUGGGCGAAAGCCUGACGGAGCAACGCCGCGUGAGUGAUGAAGGUCUUCGGAUCGUAAAACUCUGUUAUUAGGGAAGAACAAAUGUGUAAGUAACUAUGCACGUCUUGACGGUACCUAAUCAGAAAGCCACGGCUAACUACGUG